rfam:Oryctolagus cuniculus cont2.67665, whole genome shotgun sequence.
AAAAUGUGUUGGUCUUUUUGCUCUUUUGUAAUUAAAUCUGGACGUACCUCAGAAGAAUCUUGGAAGUGUGGUGAUAAGGUGCUUUCCUC